GGUUUAAUUCGAAGCAACGCGAAGAACCUUACCUGAUCUUGACAUCCCGAUGACCGCUUCGUAAUGGAAGUUUUUUCUUCGGAACAUCGGUGACAGGUGGUGCAUGGUUGUCGUCAGCUCGUGUCGUGAGAUGUUGGGUUAAGUCCCGCAACGAGCGCAACCCCUAUCUUCAGUAGCCAGCAGGUUAAGCUGGGCACUCUGGAGAGACUGCCAGGGAUAACCUGGAGGAAGGUGGGGGAU
rnacentral:rRNA from 1 species